rnacentral:rRNA from 1 species
CCUACGGGUGGCAGCAGUGAGGAAUAUUGGUCAAUGGACGCAAGUCUGAACCAGCCAUGCCGCGUGCAGGAAGACGGCUCUAUGAGUUGUAAACUGCUUUUGUACGAGGGUAAACGCAGAUACGCGUAUCUGCCUGAAAGUACCGUGCGAAUAAGGGCCGGCUAAUUCCGUGCCAGCAGCCGCGGUAAUACGGAAGGCCCGAGCGUUAUCCGGUUUCAUUGGGCUUAAAGGGAGCGUAGGCGGGCGUUCAAGUCAGCUGUAAAAUCGCGCGGCUCAACCGCGCCCCGCAGUUGAAACUGGACGCCUUGAGUUCACAACAGGCAGGCGGAAUUCGUGGUGUAGCGGUGAAAUGCAUAGAUAUCACGAGGAACCCCGAUUGCGAAGGCAGCCUGCCGGGGUGCGACUGACGCUGAGGCUCGAAGGUGCGGGUAUCAAACAGGAUUAGAUACCCCAGUAGUC